rnacentral:lncRNA from 13 species
UCAUCUUUUCCUAACCCCCUCUGCAUAUUAAUGACAUUUGCAUGCCCUACAGGUAUUUGAGUUUGUGUUCCUGUGCCAACUGGUAAAAUUUGGAGUGACAAAUUUUUAUUGUUUAGUCAGGGGAACUUCUGGUUUCUUUUUAUUUCUUAGUAUUUUUGUUUUUUAAAUUGAAAUUUCAGGAAGUAAUAUACAUUGGAUCUGUAUAAUAACCUUAUUUAAUGUUGUUAAACCACAAAUUCCUUUUGAGCCUAACUUUUACAAGUUACUUUGAAUUCCAUUUAAGUGAGUGAAAAUGAAGUCAUAGCUGGAGAACAGAAAGGCCAAAUUGAUAUAAUAAUGAGGCUUUGUGUUGAGCGUGGCAUGUCCUCUUUAAAGCCUUGAAGAAUCUGGAAGCUGGAGUGCAAUGGUGUGAUGUCGGCUCACUGCAACCUCUGCCUCCCAUGUUCAAGCGAUUCUUGUGCCUCAGCCUCCUGAGUAGCUGGGAUUACAGAUUCUGAGAAAUUUUAAGA